rnacentral:misc_RNA from 1 species
GAUCAAUAUUUUACUCGUUUACAAAAUUACACAUAAUAUUGCUAGGUGGCGUUUAAUUCUUUAUUUUUCCAGGAACCCACCGUAGCCUUAUGCAAAGACUCUUUUUUCAAUCGGGCUUUUUAGCGCCAAAGGAUACAAGCGCAUUGAAAAUCUUCUUGUCCUUCCGAACAUCGCUCGAAAUUCGGUCUGUUGUCGGUGUGUAGUUCUGUUUUCCACUGAGAAAGUGGUCAGUGAGGUUGCAGAUAUUUCGUUGUUUAUUUUGUUAUACGUAUAAUUAUUAUUUGCAGUCUUAUUUAUGACUCUAAAAUAGUUAUUCAAGUUGUAAGGAAUUAUUUUUAACUAAAAAAUUGGAAGACUGUUGCAAGAUGAUUUCUGCAAAUAUAGAUUUCGAUGGUGAAACUACAAGUAGUUCUAACCCAAAAGAAAGCUUUCAAAAUAAGGAAGCAUCAUUUUUACAAAAUCUUGUCCACAGUAAACCUAUGAAGAAAAGCAAUUCUCUUCACAAAAUAAAAGCAGAAAACAAUUUCACCAAAGUUCUUGUUCUCUAUACUGGUGGAACUAUUGGAAUGAUGCGUACUGAAGAAAACGUUUAUGUUCCUGAACCAUGUGUUAUGGGCCAAAAAGUUAAAACAUAUCCUCAACUUAAUGAUUUGAAUGGGGCUACUGAAUAUCACAUUCAGUAUCCCGAAGAAGAUGUAUUAGUUCUUCCGGAUACUGGUGAGUCUUCCAGAGUUGUUUAUACAGUCCAAGAAUAUAAUCCUUUAUUAGAUUCUUCAAAUAUGACUAUGGAUGAUUGGAUUAGAAUAGCAAUGGAUAUUAAGGAAGCAUAUGAGGCUUUUAGUGGAUUUGUUGUUUUACAUGGAACAGACACAAUGGCAUAUACUGCUUCUGCAUUGUCAUUUAUGUUAGAAAAUUUAGGAAAGACAGUAGUUAUUACUGGCUCCCAGAUACCUCUCUAUGAAGCUAGAAGUGAUGGUCGUGAUAAUCUUAUGAAUGCACUUAUCAUUGCUGGAAAUUAUUGUAUUCCUGAGGUAACAAUUUUAUUCAAUAACAAACUGUUUAGAGGAAACAGAACAAGUAAAAUUAGUACAUCUAGUCUUGAUGCCUUUAGUUCUCCUAAUUUACCUCCUCUUGCCAAAAUGGGAAUUGGAAUUCAUGUGGAAUGGAGAAAUAUUUUCCGCCCAUCAAGUAUUGAAAAGUUCAGUGUGCACAAUGUAUUAAAUCGAAAUGUUGGAUUGUUGAGAUUAUUUCCUAGCAUAACUGUUGAAGUGGUUAGGGCAUUUUUAAGUCCACCUAUAGAAGGAGUUGUGUUGCAGACUUAUGGUGCUGGAAAUGGUCCCUCACAAAGGAAGGACCUUUUUGAUGAACUAAAACGGGCUCAUAGAAGAGGUGUGAUUAUUGUUAAUUGUACUCAAUGUUCAUUAGGUCAAGUGGAUCCAUCAUAUGAAACUGGAAGUGCAUUUGUUGACGUAGGAGUCGUUCCAGGGUCCGAUAUGACUCCAGAAGCAGCAUUGACAAAACUUAGUUAUGUUUUGAGUAAAAAAGAGUGGUCAAUUCAAACUAAGCGUAAUAUGAUGAAAACAAACUUGCGUGGUGAACUUACCAUUUACAAGGAAAUGAAAUUUGAAGAUUUGGAUGUUGUUACUGCUGUGAUUAGAACAUUACGGUUGUCAUCUUCUGAGGAAGUUGAUGCUUUAAGAGAUGCGCUUUCUCCUGCUAUCUUAUGUAGCAUAGUGUCUGAUGGUAAUCUUGAGAAGUUAGAAAUUAUGAGACAGUUUGGAGCAUACCUUUCUGCAUGUGAUUAUGAUUACAGAACUCCAUUGCAUAUUGCUUGUGCUGAUGGCAAUAUAAGCAUUGUAGAAUACUUACUAAAGCAUGGAGCUAGUGUUCAUAUGCGGGAUCGAGAACACAGAACUCCCUUAAUGAAUGCAGUUGAAAAUGAUCAUCACGAAGUUAUUGAAUUAGUUAUUAAAGCUGGUGGCUACCUAAAUUUACCUUCUACCACAGUAGGAGAAAUGUUAUGUCGCCAAAGAAAAUAAUUUACGCCGACUUGAAUCACUUCGGCUUGCUGGGGCAGAUUUAAAUGAACUAGACUUCACAAAAAGGUCUGCUCUUCACUAUGCUACUGAAAUGAAUUUUGAAGAAGCAGUUUCAUUUUUGCUACAAUACUCUGUUGAUGUUUCUGUUCAAGAUUUAUAUGGUAAUACAUGUGUUGAUGUUGCAAAAAUACUGAAACAUAAUAAGAUUCUAGAUAUAUUUGAGAAGCAUGUUAAUAUUUGAUCUGCCUCUUAAUGACUAUAGUUUUGUCUCUAGUCAGAAAAUGCUAAAAGCGUCUUUCAUUUACCAGUUUUGAAUUAUUACUAAAUAGCAUAUGCUAUGCCAGUUUUGUAGAAAAUAUGACAGGCUUAAUUGCCAUUCACACUGCAUGCAAAAAAUUCGUAUAUUCGAAGUGGGAGAUGCAAACGAAAACCUGAUUAAUGAAAUAAGUUUACUCAGGAAAAACUCACCAAUCAGGUUUUUGUUCGCAUCUCCAAAUUUGCAUAGGCGAUUUUUAACAUGGUGUGUGAAUGCUCCCUUACACCCCUUUGCUGUGAGGGAAAUCAGCAUAUUAUAUUACUCUAUAGGGACAAUCUGUACCAAAGAUUUAUUUUGAAAACUUGUUUUUGUUUGCUUAUUUUGUUGAAAUUUGUCUAUUAUAUGUCUUUUAACUCCAGUUGUUAGUGUUACACUUUUUUAAUUAGUUUAUUUUUAUGCAUUUUUGAUUGAGUAUUUUUAAACUCUAGUAAUUUACCUUGAGAAUCUGAGGGUCAAUCAAAAUGAUUUAUAAACUAGCCAAUCAGGUUUUUGUUCGCAUCUCCAUAUUUGCAUAUGCUUCCUUACACCCCUUUGCUAUGAGUGAAAUCGGCAUAUUAUAUUCUUUAUAGGGACAAUCUGAACCAAAGAUUUAUUUUGAAAACUUGUUUUUGUUUGCUUAUUUUGUUGAAAUUUGUCUAUUAUAUGUCUUUUAACCUCAGUUAUUAGUGUUACAUUUUUUUAAUUAGUUUAUUUUUAUGCGUUUUUGCUUGAGUAUUUUUAGACUAAAGAAAUUUACCUUUAGAAUCUGAGGAUCAAUCUAAAUGAUUUAUAAAAAAGUUUUUGCUUUCAAUGCAUUUGCUAUAUUUUAUUAUAUCUCAUCUUUUUCUCCCUAUUCUAAGCAUCAUGAUUCCCCCCCCCCAAAAAAAAAAUAUAUUGAACACAUGAGUAGCUACAAUAGUACUUCCUGUUAAGGACAAUUCCAAAAAGAGACACCCUCUAUUGAAGGAACAAAAUACUCUUUAUUAAUUUAUAUCUCCCUUUUGAUGACUGGUGCUUCUGAGGAAAGAAAAACAAUACAUUAGAAAAAAAGCAUGACAUGGUGCAAUUAAGAGGAAUAUCUCAUUCAAAGAAUUGUGAGUAUGCAUAACCACCCAGGAACUGCCUUUGUGGGUUAUAGGGAUCAAUUAGUAAAAACAGCGGUCAAAAUUCAAAUGACUAGUCCAUCUGAUGAAAAUGAUUGGUUGCUAGUACUAAAGAACAUUCCAACGUGCAUAUUGUGAAAAUUUCUAACAUUCUUAGUUCUUGCGUGGGCUGUGAUGUAGUGUGAAGGUUGUGAAGUGUAGUUUUAGUUCAAGUGAUUUUAAUACAGAAGUUUGAAAUAAGUAAAAAUGAAGUAUGUAAUAUGUUAAAGAAUACAGAAGAAUUUAAAAAAACAUUAUUACUUAAUCAAAAAAGGAAUAAAUCGUAAUAAACGUGUUCUUUAUUAGGAGGUUCUACUGUAUUUGCUUGACAAUGAAAAAACCUGAUUUUCUUUUUUUUUAAGCCUAUCUUUCAUACUGAAUUUUUAAGCUCAAUCACUUAACAAAAAAUAAUGUAUUUAGAAUAAGAUAUUCAUAUAAAAUUUAUAAAAAUCUCUAUUGAAAUUUUAAUUUUGAAACUUAUAAAUUGAACAGAAUUAAUCAAAUAAAUCCUUUGUAGUUGUAUCCAAUUUAUAUAUAAGUUGCACUCUGAUCUGAAUUAAUUUUUGUUGGACAAACAUAAUAUGUAAGAUGAUGAAUGAAAAAUAAAACUAUUCUUUUUCGAAGA